GGCGGCCGGGGGUACCGGCGGGUCCGGCGUCGUCGUCGUGUGAAAGUCCCCUUUAAGUUUCCAUAGAGAGGCCCUCCGGCUGUCACAUGAUGGACAUGAUAUAAUGAAACAACAUCGUGGGUAGGGAAGCACUCGGGGAGCCCGGGGCGGCGGGAGGCGGCGGUGCCCCCCCGCCCCGGGCCCGCCCUGCCCCGUGCCUGCACCUGUCUCCGCGCCCGGGAGCGCGGCAGCGCCGGCAGCCCCGCCGGUGGGCUGCGUGUGGCACCCUCCCGCGGGGAGGGCAGGGGGAGGGGAGCCGGCGGAGCGGCCGCUCGGAGAUUUUCAUGAUGUUCUGUUACCCGGUUGCUGCAGCCAAUGUGGAUCUGAAUGCCGUGGCUACAGAGGCUUCUUACUUUCUCAUGCUGGAUCCCUCAAAUCCAAGAGCUACUUGGCAGUUUCCAAGGCAACCACCUGUGGAAUAAUUAAAAAGGAUGAAGUGUUAGUGUGCCAGAUAUAAGGAAUUCUUGCCUGGAGAGAGCACUUCAUUUUCAUCUGUCUUGAAGAAUCAAAUGUCUUUCUGCCAGCAAAGUUAAGGCAUCAGUCUGUAUGGAGUCCUUCCCGAAGCUGAAAAAAGGAAUUCGGUCACAUUCAACAAAGAAGAAACAGUAACUGAGUUGUACUUGCAAACCAGGACAGUCCAAAAAUGAACAUAGAAAUUACCCUGUGGGAGUGGUGAAACUGCAGCAGAGAAACAAAAACUAUUUGGAUUCAUCCGAAAGCUAUUCAUUCGCUUGCUCUUCUUAUUAACGGCUCGAAGCAUGCAGUUUGUCCUGUUCUGACUACGUAUUUUUCAGCAGGAAUGAAGGUGACUCAAAGCAGGAGCUAGCAGAUGGCUGCGUCGUUAGCUGGUGGCCACAGCCUUACGAGAUGAGUUUUGGAAUUUCCAUCAAAGUCUGGAUUAGGCUCAGGAUGUGCCAGUGGCACAGAGCACUCCGGGGGAGUGUGGAAGAAGAGGAAAUCAUUCAUAGCGACUCAUCUUGUGGUUGGUGGGCAAGUUUUCAUCUGGUGAUUUAUCAACUAAAUAUUUUACAGGAUCAUAGUUAAAAGCUGCUCUUAAAAAAAAAAAAAAAAAAAAAAAAAUCCACCCGGUGCAAUAGGGAAAGUAAAAGCAUCUCAGUUUCCAAAUGAUGAAGGAAUAACCGAAAGAGCUCGUUCUUGGAAUAGUAGCUCCAUUGGCACUCGUUGGUGAUUUCCUGUGCAUUUGCUGCAAGAAUCACUCUGUGAUGUGAGUAGGUGGUACUAAAGGGUUAUUAUGAAACCAAUUUUCAACCAGACGUUUUGAGUCAUGGAUCGGGAAGAGGGAUAGCAGCUUCAGAGCUUUCUCUUUGUUUGAGCAGUGCGCCUGAAAUGCACACGCAGGAUAUUUUGUGCUUGCAUGGUAUAAGGCAGACUGGGGAUAGGUCUGGUAUCACGUGAAGUGCUCUUCUUCAUGCCGCUCCAUCUCAGGGAUGAGAAACGAGGACGUGGGCUGAGAGCCGGCAGCAGCGUGCAAGGUGCACAAGGAGCAGUUUCCUGACUGUCUUUCAGUUGUAAGUAUUUUCUCGUGGUUUUUCCCAGACGUGAGAGACAAAAUGGAGUUGCGUCAGGACGGAUGUCUGCGCCAAAACGAGGUGGUGGUUUGGAGCAGUUUGGUUCUGUUCUGGAAGCAGAUGGGCUGCCACUGGCAAGAGACAGUUGGCUUCUCCAUCAGAAAAAAAAUGGGGUGUUUAAGGGAAUUGGUCUGGCUCCUAAACCGAAGGAAUUGUUGACCUACUGACUCAGUUACAAAGCAUUAGGGAAGCAGUCUUAUUGUGGUUUCUUUUGUUGGUGGCAGAUUCAGAUGUCUGUGAGCGUUACGGGUAUGACUAGCAAAGGAGAGACUGUUCUGGUACCUGCUGCCUGUGGGAUUUAUUUUGUGCCAGGAAGGAGCUGAGGUGCUGAUGGCUGAAUAACACCUAAACUUUAUUUCUGAUGCUUCUCCUGAUAAUGCAUUGAUACCUGACAGCAGUCUCUCCAGGUCACAUUUCAUCCUUCGAUAAACUACCACAGUCGUUUAUGUAGCAACGUAAAUGAAUCCACUGCUGAAGAUAAAUAGAGGGGCAGAGAAGUUGCAGGCGCCUGGUUUUAAGAGCUCACUUUGUAGAGACAUAAGUGGCUGCGAUACAAUGCACGGCACAAGAAUAUAAACAUUUUCUCCUGGACCCCAGUGAGAUACUUCUGCACAUGUGAGACAGCAGUGGGAAUGAAAAGAUGGUUUUGCAAUAUAAAGACACAGACAAGCAACAGUGAACUUUGUGAUUCUGAGGACCAACCUGUCAAUAAUGAAUUGUUCCAGAAAUACACGGAGAAAAAUUGUACAUGGUGGAGGCUGUUUUUAUUGAGGCUGAAGCUCAUCUCAACUUCUUAUGACCAGCUGCGCAGGGGAGAUGGGAUUUGAUGCUAUCCAAGGUGUAAUUCCACAGUUCAUGUCUUUUGUUAGUGCCAGCUUAAUAAGUUUCUGCCUACUCUCAGCCGUUCAUUUCCAGCUCAGCAGCAAGGCAGUACCAUCUCUUUUCCUGACUGGAAAACCAGAUGACUGAAAAUAACCUCAGUCAAGAAAAGAAACACUUUUUUUUUUUUCUUUCUUCUCUUAGAAUUAGAAUCAUUUGAAUGAACUCGUCUAUAGCGUGGCCCGCAGGCAGUUGUACCAGGGCAACUGAAGGUGACAUGAACUGCAGCAUCAGGGGCAGCAGUGGGUGGUGGACAGUUUCCCAUUGUUAAGUGAUCUUGCCGUCAUCAAAUAUCUGCUCUGGGACCAUAUCCUGGAUGAAGGGGUUUCCACAGUAUUAUUUAUUAAACUGCUGCAUUUUAUUUUAUUAUUUUUUUUCAUUUCAUUUUAUUAAGAAAGUGUAACAUCUUCUUGCUUGGGCAGGUUUUUUUUCUCAAGGAGAUAAACCAUGUCUGUGAGAAGUCAGUCAGAUUUGUGGACAGCCAUGAAUGUCAAUAAAGUCUUGGCAAACACACUCUUCAGAGGAGCAGAACUGGCCAGAGAAGGAGAGUCGAAGUGUGGGUCGUGUCCCCACUUGCAGCAGGAUCUCGGUAACUGUUAAUUUCUGAAAAUCAUCCUUCAACCAGCUUGUCAUGCUGCAUCCAGCUUCAGGGGAGCUAUUAACGCAGACCCACCUACAGCCACAGCCAGCCGUCCCUCGCAGAGGAUGUGUUCCUGGAUGGACCGGUGAGAACAGCAUAUGUGCUGCCUCUCCCCAUCGCUCCACACGGGGAAACUAAAAACCAGCUACAGACUGCAAACAACCGGAGCAGCUUCUGAGUAGUCAGGGGCAUUUCUAAGCUUGUGACUGGUUGUUAGCAGCAAAUUUGAUUUUCCUGUUCCCCCCACCACCCUCUGACUUUUUAUCAGUGUAUGCUCCUGUUACUCUUUAGUUCUGUUUAACUAAGAAGGGAUCAGAUAAUGACAAGCCAAAGGAGACUCUAUAUGAAAAGUACUUGGCCUCUUUCUUGUCUCUCGCAUCUAUUUGUGAAAUCCACCCUCGUGAUUUGUUUGUCUUUUUUUAUAGAUGAAACUUGCAGAAGUGAGUAGUACUGUGUUCAGUACAAAAGACUCUAGGUUAGCCCUUAAAUUAAUACAAAAAUGAUUAAAAUAUUGAAAAUGCAGAAUGGCUAGUAGCAUUUGUUUUGUUUGUUUUGGUUUUUUUUCAGUAUGAUGCAGAGAGCUGACACCUGCCCCCAUACAUAUUUUAGUGGGUUUUGACAGAUGUUCUUGUCGAGGUUAAAAGCUGUACAGAAUUAAGUGCUGCGUUCUGGAAAUGUGGCUUACAAAUAAUGGUCGUGUUUUAAGUACAUCCACUGCUUGGGUAGCUCCUGUAGAGACCACUGCUUAAAUGAUUUCAUGUGUGAAGACCUUGAAAGAGCAGAUGGAUUCAUUUGGAGUUUAGCUGCUUGUACCCUGUCAAGGUAGGAUCUAAAUGUCUAGACUUCUUUAAGUUACAGCAGCUUGUUAGCACAGAAACUGAUCUUAAGGUAAGAAUUGAUUACAAGGUAAUAUAAAGUGAUCGCACAAAAACAGCUGAUGGAGAUUACUGAAGUUUUUAUUAUUUCUAUUGAAAAGUAAGAGGGUUUUAAGCUGUAGCAAUGUUCUCUGCAUCAUAUAACAAGAAAAGGGAGCUGCCAAGUGCUUGGAUCUCGUGAAAGGCUUUUCAGACACGAGUACUGUUGCUCGUGUGCCCAUGUGCUUACAGGGCUGUGUCCUGUUUCAGGUUGGAUCUUUGAUACAGCAGCAAGGAAAGAAAGGAUGAAAGAAGGUGAGAAGGAAGGAAAAUGCUUCAUGAAAACAAACAUUUAAGUGUAAAAUACACGUAUGAGGAAGU